rnacentral:rRNA from 1 species
UACGGAGGGUGCGAGCGUUGUCCGGAUUGACUGGGCGUAAAGCGCACGCAGGCGGCCGCGCGCGUGGGGUGUGAAAUCUGGCCGCUUAACGGCCAGGCGCCAUCCCAUACGGCGCGGCUGGAGCCAUGCAGAGGGCGGUGGAAUUGCCGGUGUAGUGGUGAAAUGCGUAGAGAUCGGCAGGAACACCCAGGGGGAAACCAGCCGCCUGGGCAUGCGCUGACGCUGAGGUGCGAGAGCGUGGGGAGCGAACCGG